GCAUUUUCAGGAACUCAUUCACCGUCAUCAAUCUCUCGAGAUGAGUUCCAAUCGAUUGGACUCAUACCCCAUGUCCAAACUGCAAUUUGAGGGAGAAGAUGAAGAAGAACUGGGCAAGUUGGCCGUUCGCUUGGCCAACGGCAUCAUUCUUCCGAUGGCUUUGAAAUCGGCUCUGGAGCUUAACCUCAUCGAAAUUUUGGCCGGAGCCGGCGACGGCGCGUUCCUCUCUCCCUCCGAGAUCGCGGCUUACCUUCCCGCCCGGAACCCCGAUGCGCCGGUCCUGCUGGACCGGGUUCUGAGGCUUCUCGCCAGCUACUCUAUUCUCAAGUGCUC
rnacentral:lncRNA from 1 species